ensembl:lncRNA
CCCAUUGCCUUAUGGCUCACCCCAUUGGGUUAUGCCUCACCCCCUUGGGUUAUGGUUCACCCCAUUGCCUUACGGCUCACCCCAUUGGGUUAUGCCUCACCCCAUUGGGUUAUGCCUCACCCCAUUGAGUUAUGCCUCACCCCAUUGGGUUAUGCCUCACCCCAUUGCCUUACAGCUCACCCCAUUGGGUUAUGACUCACCCCAUUGGGUUAUGCCUCACCCCAUUGCCUUACGGCUCACCCCAUUGCCUUACGGCUCACCCCAUUGGGUUACAGUUCACCCCAUUGCCUUACGCCUCACCCCAUUGCCUUACAGCUCACCCCAUUGGAUUAUGAGUCACCCCAUUGGGUUAUGCCUCACCCCAUUGGGUUACGGUUCACCCCAUUGCCUUACGGCUCACCCCAUUGGGUUAUGGUUCACCCCAUUGCCUUACGGCUCACCCCAUUGGGUUAUGGGUCACCCCAUUGCGUUAUGGCUCACCCCAUUGCCUUACGGCUCACCCCAUUGGGUUAUGCCUCACCCCCUUGGGUUAUGCCUCACCCCAUUGCCUUACGGCUCACCCCAUUGGGUUAUGGGUCACCCCAUUGCUUUAUAGCUCACCCCAUUGGGUUAUGCCUCACCCCAUUGGGUUAUGCCUCACCCCAUUGCCUUACGGCUCACCCCAUUGCCUUACGGCUCACCCCAUUGGGUUAUGGCUCACCCCAUUGCCUUACGGCUCACCCCAUUGGGUUAUGGUUCACCC